rnacentral:rRNA from 1 species
ACCCGCUGACGAGCGGCGGACGGGUGAGUAAUGCAUAGGAAUCUGCCCGAUAGUGGGGGAUAACCUGGGGAAACCCAGGCUAAUACCGCAUACGUCCUACGGGAGAAAGGGGGCUCCGGCUCCCGCUAUUGGAUGAGCCUAUGUCGGAUUAGCUAGUUGGUAAGGUAAUGGCUUACCAAGGCAACGAUCCGUAGCUGGUCUGAGAGGAUGAUCAGCCACAUCGGGACUGAGACACGGCCCGAACUCCUACGGGAGGCAGCAGUGGGGAAUAUUGGACAAUGGGGGCAACCCUGAUCCAGCCAUGCCGCGUGUGUGAAGAAGGCCCUCGGGUUGUAAAGCACUUUCAGCGAGGAAGAACGCCUAUCGGUUAAUACCCGGUAGGAAAGACAUCACUCGCAGAAGAAGCACCGGCUAACUCCGUGCCAGCAGCCGCGGUAAUACGGAGGGUGCAAGCGUUAAUCGGAAUUACUGGGCGUAAAGCGCGCGUAGGUGGCUUGAUAAGCCGGUUGUGAAAGCCCCGGGCUCAACCUGGGAACGGCAUCCGGAACUGUCAGGCUAGAGUGCAGGAGAGGAAGGUAGAAUUCCCGGUGUAGCGGUGAAAUGCGUAGAGAUCGGGAGGAAUACCAGUGGCGAAGGCGGCCUUCUGGAC